rnacentral:rRNA from 1 species
UACGUAGGGUGCGAGCGUUGUCCGGAAUUACUGGGCGUAAAGCGUGUGUAGGUGGUUGUCCAAGUUGGAUGUGAAAGCCUUGAGCUCAACUCAAGAAAUGCAUUCAGGACUGGGCGGCUAGAGGACCGGAGAGGAUAGUGGAAUUCCCAGUGUAGUGGUGAAAUACGUAGAGAUUGGGAAGAACACCAGUGGCGAAGGCGGCUAUCUGGACGGUUUCUGACACUAAGACUCGAAAGCGUGGGGAGCAAACAGG